rnacentral:rRNA from 1 species
CAGCAGCCGCGGUAAUACGUAGGGUGCAAGCGUUAAUCGGAAUUACUGGGCGUAAAGCGUGCGCAGGCGGUUUUGUAAGUCUGAUGUGAAAUCCCCGGGCUCAACCUGGGAAUUGCAUUGGAGACUGCAAGGCUAGAAUCUGGCAGAGGGGGGUAGAAUUCCACGUGUAGCAGUGAAAUGCGUAGAUAUGUGGAGGAACACCGAUGGCGAAGGCAGCCCCCUGGGUCAAGAUUGACGCUCAUGCACGAAAGCGUGGGGAGCAAACAGGAUUAGAUACCCUGGUAGUCCACGCCCUAAACGAUGUCUACUAGUUGUCGGGUCUUAAUUGACUUGGUAACGCAGCUAACGCGUGAAGUAGACCGCCUGGGCAGUACGGUCGCAAGAUUAAAACUCAAAGGAAUUGACGG